UUCCAUGUUAAACGAAAACGAUUCUCCACAAUGGUAUGAUAUUGUCCACUUUGAGCAUAAGCUCUCAUGGCUUUGCCUUGAGCUUCCUCGAAAGGCCUCAUCCCAAUGGAAAGAUGUAUACCUUAGUGAUCAUGCCCUAAAUU